AGAGUUUGAUCAUGGCUCAGAGUGAACGCUGGCGGCGUGCUUAACACAUGCAAGUCGAUCGGUAACAGAACUAGCUUGCUAGUUGCUGACGAGUGGCGCACGGGUGAGUAAUAUAUAGUUAAUGUGCCUUCAAGACCGGGAUAGCCAUUGGAAACGAUGAUUAAUACUGGAUAGUCCUUCUCUACAUAAGUAGAGUUGGUAAACGUUUUUUCGCUUGAAGAUCAGACUAUAUCCCAUCAGCUUGUUGGUAGUGUAAGAGACUACCAAGGCAAUGACGGGUAGCGGGUUUGAGAGGAUGAUCCGCCACACUGGUACUGAGACACGGACCAGACUCCUACGGGAGGCAGCAGUGAGGAAUAUUGCACAAUGGGGGAAACCCUGAUGCAGCAACGCCGCGUGGAGGAUGACGCAUUUCGGUGUGUAAACUCCUUUUAUAUGUCAAGAAAAUGACGGUAGCAUAUGAAUAAGCACCGGCUAACUCCGUGCCAGCAGCCGCGGUAAUACGGAGGGUGCAAGCGUUACUCGGAAUCACUGGGCGUAAAGGACGCGUAGGCGGGAUGUCAAGUCUGAUGUGAAAUCCUAUGGCUCAACCAUAGAACUGCAUCGGAAACUGAUAACCUAGAGUAUGGGAGGGGGGAGAUGGAAUUAGUGGUGUA
rnacentral:rRNA from 1 species